ensembl:snRNA U4 U4 spliceosomal RNA
AGCUUUGCGCAGUGGCAGUAUCGUAGCCAAUGAGGUUUAUCCGAGGCGCGAUUAUUGCUAAUUAAAUUCUGCUGUAUAGACAGCUACUACUUUAGAACCUAGCCCUGGAAGUAAAUCAACUUUUGGGGGAAGAAAGCUU